AAACCAACAGGGAUUGCCUUAGUAACGGCGAGUGAAGCGGCAAAAGCUCAAAUUUGAAAUCUAGCACUUUCAGUGUUCGAGUUGUAAUUUGAAGAAGGUAACUUUGGAAUUGGCUCUUGUCUAUGUUCCUUGGAACAGGACGUCACAGAGGGUGAGAAUCCCGUGCGAUGAGAUGUCCAAUUCUAUGUAAAGUGCUUUCGAAGAGUCGAGUUGUUUGGGAAUGCAGCUCUAAGUGGGUGGUAAAUUCCAUCUAAAGCUAAAUAUUGGCGAGAGACCGAUAGCGAACAAGUACAGUGAUGGAAAGAUGAAAAGAACUUUGAAAAGAGAGUGAAAAAGUACGUGAAAUUGUUGAAAGGGAAGGGCUUGAGAUCAGACUUGGUAUUUUGUGUUCCUUAUUCUUUUUGGAUUUGGUUCCUCACAGCUUACCGGGCCAGCAUCGGUUUGGAUGGUAGGAUAAUGACAUUGGAAUGUAGCUUUGCUUCGGUGAAGUGUUAUAGACUUUGUUGAUACUGCCUAUCUAGACCGAGGACUGCGUCUUUGACUAGGAUGCUGGCGUAAUGAUCUUAAGCCGCCCGUCUU
rnacentral:rRNA from 1 species